rnacentral:lncRNA from 1 species
UUUUUUCCAAGAGUUGCACUAAACACUUUCCUCUUUUCUCAAAUAAACCCUACCACCAUUGCUAGAACCUAGAGAGACCUUGAUGUGGAGAAUUUGGUGGACAUCAAAGAUCAUUUGGAGCUUCUGGCAUUUCAUCAAACACUUCUGGAUCAUGUCCAGAUUUGGCAUGGCUUCGAACCUACAUUAUAGAGUUGAUGAUAUAGCCCAACAAGGAUUUCUAGGAUAUAGGUCUUGACCCAUAGCAUGAUCUUAUUUGCUUUGAGCUGCUUUGAAGGUCUUUGGGAGUGACGGGCAUACUGCCGAAGAGGUGUCAUGCAUGCUCUAGGUUCACC